rnacentral:rRNA from 1 species
UGGGGAAUAUUGCACAAUGGGGGGAACCCUGAUGCAGCGACGCCGCGUGGGUGAAGGAGCACUUCGGUGCGUAAAGCCCUAUCAGCAGGGAAGAAAAAAGACGGUACCUGACUAAGAAGCCCCGGCUAACUACGUGCCAGCAGCCGCGGUAAUACGUAGGGGGCAAGCGUUAUCCGGAUUUACUGGGUGUAAAGGGAGCGCAGACGGCAGUGCAAGCCUGGAGUGAAAGGCGGGGGCCCAACCCCCGGACUGCUCUGGGAACUGCGCAGCUGGAGUACAGGAGAGGUAAGCGGAAUUCCUAGUGUAGCGGUGAAAUGCGUAGAUAUUAGGAGGAACACCAGUGGCGAAGGCGGCUUACUGGACUGUAACUGACGUUGAGGCUCGAAAGCGUGGGGAGCAAACAGG